ACCAUUAAAAAGUUUGUGUUAUGUGCCCUAUCUCGUCUGAUCUCAGAAACUAAGCAGGGCUGGGCCUGGUUAGUACUUGGAUGGGAGACCACCUAGGAAUACCAGGUGCUGUAGGUG
rnacentral:rRNA from 1 species